rnacentral:rRNA from 1 species
GACGAACGCUGGCGGCGUGCUUAACACAUGCAAGUCGAACGAAGUGGCGAACGGGUGAGUAACGCGUAAUCAACCUGCCAUUCAGAGGGGGACAACAGUUGGAAACGACUGCUAAUACAGCAUACUGAAGGAGGGGAUUGCGUCUGAUUAGCUAGUUGGGGGGGUAACGGCCCACCAAGGAGAUGAUCAGUAGCCGGGCUGAUGGGAUGAACUGCCACAUUGGGACUGGGACACGGCCCAGACUCCUACGGGAGGCAGCAGUGGGGAAUUUUCCGACAUGGACGAAAGUCUGACGGAGCCACGCCGCGUGAGUGAUGACGGCCUUCGGGUUGGAAAGCUCUGUUAAUCGGGACGCGGUACCGGAAUAGAAAGCCACGGCUAACUACGUGCCAGCAGCCGCGGUAAUUC